AAGCCCUAGGUUCUUUGGUUUAGACCACAGCGCCACCCACUAGUCACCUGCUAAUUUAUGUGAUAAAAGCUUACCUUAGUGAUCUGAAGCAUUAAGCACUUCCACAGAUAUUGAUUUCUGUGUUUUAUACCCCUUUGCUGCCACACUGCAAACCUCUCUCAGAAUGGCAAUCUCUUGAACAUUAAUAAAAACAAAUCAAUAAAACAACUCUUAACAGUAAGGCACAACAGCACAAAACGCAACACAACAUGGUCAGUUAAAAAAAGUAUCAGAUGGAACUAGAGAUGGACAAGUUGGUCAAUUUUGUUUCUCCCUCAUUUCUCAUUUUUCCAGUUGUAAGUUCACUUCUCCACAUUUCCACAUCAGUCUGUGUUUUUAAUGAGUGAUGUUUUAAUGUACUUUUAAUCUUUUGUUGGAAGCCGCCCAGAGUGGCUGGGGAAACCCAGUCAGAUGGGUGGGGUAUAAAUAAUAAAUUAUCAUUAUUAUUC